GGGCUUGACAUCCCACGAACCUGGAAACAGGGUCUUCCACUUCGGUGGACCGGGUGACAGGUGCUGCAUGGCUGUCGUCAGCUCGUGUCGUGAGAUGUUGGGUUAAGUCCCGUAACGAGCGCAACCCCUGCCUUUAGUUGCCAUCAUUUAGUUGGGCACACUAAAGGGACUGCCGGUGUUAAACCGGAGGGAGGUGGGGACGACGUCAAGUCCUCAUGGCCUUUAUGUCCAGGGCUACACACGUGCUACAAUGGGCGGCACAAAGGGCAGCGACAUCGCGAGGUGAAGCAAAUCCCAAAAAACCGCUCUCAGUUCGGAUCGGAGUCUGCAACUCGACUUCGUGAAGGUGGAGUCGCUAGUAACCGUGGAUCAGCAUGCCACGGUGAAUACGUUCCCGGGCCUUGUACACACCGCCCGUCACACCACGAAAGUCUGCUGUACUCGAAGUCGCUGAG
rnacentral:rRNA from 1 species